GCUGCUUGCCAGGUAGCUCUAUUAUACAUGUUGUUCUCGCACGCACGCGUGCGCGUGCACGUCUAACCGCCAAGUGCAAUAUUUGAAAAAGAAAACUCGAUCUACCGGUACUACCGUUUUGCCGUUGAUAAGUCCGUCGAUAAUUCAUCAAAAACUAAAGGAACACGGGUCAGAUUCGGACAGCGACUUCAAAGUCAUUUGUAGAAGGCUAAACAUUUGGACGACGGAUACACUGGAUGCUAAGUUAGAUGGUCCAGCCUUAUCUGGGAAUGACACGACGGGUGUUGAACACAGAAAACGUGCCGUGUACAAGAAAUAAUUGGAGUUUAUGAAAGCUUCAAGGAAUUAAUC